GGAUGAGCCCGCGGCCUAUCAGCUUGUUGGUGGGGUGAUGGCCUACCAAGGCUUUGACGGGUAACCGGUCUGAGAGGAUGUACGGUCAGAGGGGCACUGAGACACGGGCCUCACUCCUACGGGAGGCAGCAAUCGGGAAUCUUGCGCAAUGGACGAAAGCCUGACGGAGCAACGCCGCGUGUGGGAUGAAGUAUUUCGGUAUGUAAACCACUGUCGGAGGGGAAGACCAAGACGGUACCCUCCAAGAAAGCCCCGGCUAACUACGUGCCAGCAGCCGCGGCCG
rnacentral:rRNA from 1 species